GAGGUGGGACGAGGGCACUGGAUGGGGCAAAGCAGGUCGCGAAAAGCCCCAGCCUGUGUGGGCAGGGCCCGAGGCCUGUGUGCAAGUUCUGAUCCCGCAGGGGAGGGCUUUGAGCCUGUGACGGGGCGUUCUGAUUCCUCCCCAUCUCCAGGACAGAGAAGAGCCCGGGGCAUCGGGGGGAAGGAAGAGACCCGGGGCGGCCCAGCCCGGCGUCCGAUGGGGCAGCCGCCGAGGAGCUUCGGGGGACCCGGGCCCCCGCAGGGCGGAGUUCGUCGUCGGCCAUCCGAAGGAGGAGCGAAGAGCCGGGGAGAACCGGAGUGCGGCCCCCAAGAGAGCGGCGGCGGCGGCCGGGGUCCGGAAGGGAGAGCGGCGGCGCCGGUGGCCAGCCGGGGGUCCCGAGACCCCUGACGCCCCAAGCCGGGGCGACGCGGACCACCCGGCCCAGAGAGGGGACUCUCCCCGGGACCCCGGCCCUCGGGACCCUCAGCUCCGCCCUCCCCCUGCCCACGAGCCCCAGGGGCCCGCGGUGGAGAGGCCCGGCCCUCCCCCGCCUGCCCCCGUCCCGGGGACCCCAGGGUCCGAAGAAGGCCGACGGGGCGGCGCAUCAGAGGUAAAACCCACGAGCGGACACGAGGAGCCGUUCCGGUCAGUGACCUUAGAAAUACCCAUCGUCACCCACUCGUGUUGGUGUUUAUUAAGCGCUUACCGUGUGUCGAGCGCUGUGCUAAGCACGGGGGUGGAUGCAGGGAACGUCACUGUUUACUGUGUAGUGUACUCUCCCAAGUGCUCAGUAGAGUGCUCUGCACACAGUAAGCGCUCAAUAAAUACGAUCGAAUGAAUGAAUACAAGAUCAUCAGACUGGACCAAGUCCCUGCCUUAAUCAGGUUGUACAAGGUAAGUUUCUCAUCCCGACUUUACAGAGGAAACUGAGGCACAGAGCGAUUGAGUGGCUUGCCCAGAGUCACCCAGCAGACCACUGACAGAGCCAGGACUAGAAGCCAGGACUAGAACCCAGGUCCCCCGACUCCCAGGCCCAGGCUCUCUCCAGCAGACCACACCCCCACCCUCAAUAUUGCUGAGCAUCUCCUUGGCGCAAAGCACUGUGCUAAAUCCCUCAGGAGAGUUCUACGCCAAACAGAGCAGAUUCCCUGCCCUUGAGGCACUUCUAGUCGAAUGGGGAAGACAGGGCGAUCCUCUUCAGGCCAGAGGUUUCCACAGGGACCCUGAUUCAUUCCUUCAGUCGUAUUUAUUCCUUCAUUCAAGCGUAUUUAUUGAGGCGUUACUGUGUGCAGAGCACCGUACUGAGUGUUUGGGAAAGUACAAUACAGCAAUAAAGAGAGAUAAUCCCUGCCCACAACGAGCUCACAGUCUAGAGUCUAGAGCACUGCCGUGUCUCACCCGUAUCUACGGGGAAGCAACGUGACCUACUCCAUAAAACAUGAGCCCGAGAGCCAGAGGACCUGGGUUCUAAUGCUGACUCUGCCAUUUCAUUCAAUAGUAUUUAUUGAGCGCUUACUAUGUGCAGAGCACUGUACUAAGCGCUUGGAAUGUACAAAUCGGUAACUGACAGAGACAGUCCCUGCCCUCUGACGGGCUUACGGUCUAAUCGGGGGAGACGGACAGACAAGAACAAUGGCAAUAAAUAGAAUCGAGGAGAAGAACAUCUCAUUAAAACAAAAGCAAAUAAAUAGAAUCAAGGCGAUGUACAUCCCAUUAACAAAAUGAAUAGGGCGAUGAAGAUACAUACAGUCGAGCGGACGAGUACGGUGCUGAGGGGAGGGGAAGGGAGAGGGGAAGGAGCGGAGGGAAAGCAGGGAAAGGAGGGCUUAGCUGAGGAGAGGUGAAGGGGGGGUAGAGGGGGAGCAGAGGGAAAAAGGGAACUCAGUCUGGGAAGGCCUCUUGGAGGAGGUGAGCUUUAAGUAGGGUUUUGAAGAGGGGAAGAGAAUUAGUCACUUGCCGACUGUGUCACCUUGCCCAAGUCACUUGACUUCUCUGUGCUUCAAUUUCCUCAACUGCAAAAUGGGGAUUCACUGCCCGUUCCUACUUGGACUGUGAGCCCCAUUGUAGGACAGGGACCCUGCCCAGCCCGAUUAGCUUGUAUUCUUGAUGCACAUCUCAAUACCACAAGAGAAAUCUUUUCAAAAAUCUCGGUUUAGGCGCUCCCCGGGAACCGGUGGCAGGAGAAGACUUCUCGGGACAGGAUCCGAGCAGAAAGAGCGGAGAGGAGGCGGCUGGAGGUGGAGAGGAAACGAAGGGAGCAGGAGGAACAGACACGGCAGCGGCAAGAGCAGCUGGAACGGAUGGAGCGGAUAAAGGAGGAGUUUGAGCGGGAGCAACUGAGGAGAGCCGAGGAGAACCGGUGCGCUGGCCCGGACGCCUUCUCGGGGGGGCGGAGAGGAGGAUUCUGAGAAAUGGGGUUCCCCUGCUCCCCUCCCUUGUCAAGGGGCUGACUGAACUCUACCCUCAGUUAAUCAAUCAGUGGUAUUUACUGAGCAGCUACUGUGUGCAGAGCACUGGACUGACCGACUGAGUGCCUGGCACACAGUGAGUACUUCAAAAACAAAAAAAACAAAAAAGAAGGGACUUGGAGGUGGAGGGCUGGUUCCGGGGUGUGCAGGGAGGGGCGUGAGGACAUCAUAAUAAUAAUAUUGGUAUUUGUUAAGCACCUACUAUGUGCAGAGCACUGUUCUAAGCGCUGGAGUAGUGAUGACCUGCCUUUUAUUACUCUAGAGGAGGUUGUUUCUAAUCUCUUCCCCACUUAUUUGCACUUCUACUGAUACAGAGAGAAAGCCUGGUAAGGAGUUCUAAUAUUCAGGCCCAUGUGGGGCCAGUGGCCAUAAAAUAAUAAUAAUAAUGUCGGUAUUUGUUAAGCGCUGACUAUGUGCAGAGCACUGUUCUAAGCGCUGGGGAAGAUACAGGGUCAUCAGGUUGUCCCCCGUGAGGCUCACAGUCUUCAUCCCCAUUUUCCAGAUGAGGUCACUGAGGCCCAGAGAAGUGAAGUGACUCGCCCAGAGUCACACAGUUGACAAGUGGCAGAGCCGGGAUUCAAACCCGUAACCUCUGACUCCCGAGCCCGUGCUCUUUCCACUGAACCACGCUGCUUCUCCGAUAAUAAUGUUGGUAUUUGUUAAGCGCUUACUAUGUGCAGAGCACUGUUCUAAGCGCCGGGGGGGGAUACAAGGUGAUCAGGUUGUCCCACGUGGGGCUCCCAGUCUUCAUCCCCAGAUGAGGUAACUGAGGCCCAGAGAAGUGAAGUGACUCGCCCAAAGUCACACAGCCGACAAGCGGUGGAUCUGGGAUUUGAACCCAUGACCUCUGACUCCCAAGCCCGGGCUCUUUCCACUGAGCCACGCUGUUUCUCUAUCUGGGGUGCAGCUGGGAGUUACCCACCGCCGUCCCCCCCGGGAUCCUUUUCCCCUGGUCUUUCAAGGUGACGGGGAUCUUGCUGUGAGGACACGGAUGUUUGCCGGCCUUGUGGGAGCAAGCCACUGAACAGCUGUGUGUGAAAUAAGAUUUAUUGAGCGCUUAUUGGGUGCAGAACACUAUACUAACCCUUUGGGAGCAAGCCACUGAAAAACCGUGUGUGAAGUAGUCAAUCAUAUUUACUGAGCGCUUACCGUGUGCAGAGCAGUGUACUAAGCGCUUGGGAGAAGACAGUAUAACAGUGUAAAGACACAUUCUCUGCCCACAACAAGCUUACGGUCUAGAUGGGGAGACGGACAUUAAUAUCAAUCUAUAAAUGACAGAUAUGGACAUGAGUGCUGUGGGGCUGGAAGGGAGGAUGAAUAAAUGGAGCUAGUCAGGGUGACAUAGAAGGGAUGUUGUCUUGUUUUUGUCCGUCUGUCUCCCCCGAUUAGACUGUGAGCCCGUCACUGGGCAGGGAUUGUCUCUAUCUGUUGCCCAAUUCCAAGCGCUUAAUACAGUGCUCUGCACAUAUUAAGUGCUCAGUAAAUAUGAAAGAAAAGAAAAGAAAGAGAGAGAGGGAGAGAGAGGGAGAGAGAGAGCGAGAGCGCAAAGAGGGCAUUGUCAAGGAAGGCCUUAGGGAGAUGUCAGUCAAGUCGUAUUUAUUAGCCCAUCGAUGGGCAGGGAUUGUAUCUGUUGCCAAAUUGUAUAUUCCAAGCGCUUAUUACAGUGCCCUGCACAUAAUAAGCGCUCAAUAAAUACUAUUGAAUGAAUGGAUUUAUUGAGUGCUUACUGGGUGCAGAGCACUGUAUUGAGUGCUUGGGAGAGUCAAAUAGAACAAUAUAACAGGCACAUUGCCUGCCCACAACAGGUUUACGGUCCAGAGGGGGAUAAGGCUUUGAAGGCGGGGAGGGUCAUCGUCCGUCGGAUCUGAGGAGGGAGGGCGUUCCAGGCCGGAGGCGGGACGUGGGCGGGGGGUCGGCGGUGAGAUAGACGAGAUCGAGGUACAGUGAGAAGGUUGGCAUCCGAGGGCGGCCCGGACGCCGGCGGGCCCGGGCAGCGGACGGGGCCGUCCCCGGAGGGUGGCGGGCCCAGGCCGGGGGCACCGAUGGCUCCGGUGAUGCCCACCCUCCG
rnacentral:lncRNA from 1 species